rnacentral:ncRNA from 17 species
AUCAACCGAAGGCGGAAAGUUACCGCCACCUAGCAACCAGGAGGGCACCACACUUCUAGUGCUUAACGGAGAUGCAGGAGUUUAGCGACCUGCCGGUUGUA